AACUAGUACAGAAUAUCUUAUUCAAUAUACAGUUGAACUUAAGCAGCAGCUAAUUUAAACUAGAAAGUAUGAAAAACUAUAAAUUAAUAGCCGUCUUUGCACUGAUAGUGACGUUGAUAGCAAAUGUAGUUGGUAGGGCAAUAGAUCCUGCCGUGUUAGCAUCACUAGUAGGGUAGGCAUCAGGAUAAAUCUAAAUAAUUACAGAAAA